rnacentral:lncRNA from 1 species
UAUGGGUAUGGGUUUUCCCCGAUCUCAAAACACAGGUAUGGGACGAGUAACGGGUAUAUAGGUACCCAUACCCAAACCCGUCCCAAAUGUAAAAAAUUACUUUAUGUUGAUACAUUAUGUUAUUUUGUUUGAUAAUUGUCAUGUUAAUAAAAACUAUCAUUGAUAUUUAAAGGAUCAACUAAAUCAUUUUGUCUAACAAAUGUAAAAGUGAGCUUAUUGUUGGAUAAUGUAUUACAACGUUG